UGAGGAUUUGCAUCCACAUUCAGUCAUUUUCUUUCAAACUCAUUUCAUUUCACAUCAUCUGAAUUCAUUUCAUAGUUCGCCCCAGGUAUUAAGCAUAUAGUGAAAACAGAGACGGGUGAGAAAUCCCACACUCUUAGCAACUUGGUAAAGAAUUCUUAAUAAGCGUCUUUACCGAGCUCUUGGUAAUUACGCAUCCUACAAAAAUUAUACGGGGUUAUUACCGUAACAAUACCAAACGGGUAACUGGCCUUCCACCGCAAUGUUCUAACUUAUCUUUAUAAUUUUGGUAAUAAACUACUACGAGCCGGUAAUUAUAUCCUACAAAUUUAGAUAACACUCUUUACCAUAAUUUUCAUUAAGUGUAGUACAAAUGUUUCCCGUUGUGGUGCUGAUGAGAUCUACAUUUUGGUGUAGUUUAUUACCCUGGAGUUUUAGUUUUCGCUUAGCUCAACUCAAGUCAACAUGACGAAAUUAAUCCAGUGCUGCCCGUGAAAAAAAAACGAUAAAAACUUCUGGAAAUUCUGGAAAUAUAGAAUUUUUGGUAACAGUGAAACAAAAAUUUAAGUUGGGAAUCGGAGCAGAUUUGAGUUUCAUGUAAAUAUUUAUACAUGUGUAUUUCUGUAACUCAAUAGUUUGCAUUAUACUUAAAUUUUAUAAUUAUGUAUGUUUCAAAACUAUUUUACAAUAAAUAUAAUUGAUUGAAAGAUU